CGGAAGCCUGAUGCAGCAACGCCGCGUGCGGGAUGACGGCCUUCGGGUUGUAAACCGCUUUCACCCAUGACGAAGCGCGAGUGACGGUAGUGGGGGAAGAAGCACCGGCCAACUACGUGCCAGCAGCCGCGGUGAUACGUAGGGUGCGAGCGUUGUCCGGAAUUAUUGGGCGUAAAGAGCUUGUAGGCGGUUGAUCGCGUCGAUAGUGAAAUCCCGGGGCUCAACCUCGGGCUUGCUGUCGAUACGGGUUGACUUGAGGAAGGUAGGGGAGAAUGGAACUCCCGGUGGAGCGGUGGAAUGCGCAGAUAUCGGGAAGAACACCGGUGGCGAAGGCGGUUCUCUAGACCUUUCCUGACGCUGAGAAGCGAAAGCGUGGGGAGCAAACAGGCUUAGAUACCCUGGUAGUCCACGCUGUAAACGGUGGGUACUAGGUGUGGGUCGCAUUCCACGUGAUCCGUGCCGUAGCCAACGCAUUAAGUACCCCGCCUGGGGAGUACGGCCGCAAGGCUAAAACUCAAAGGAAUUGACGGGGCCCCGCACAAGCGGCGGAGCAUGCGGAUUAAUUCGAUGCAACGCGAAGAACCUUACCUGGGGUUUGACAUGUACUGGAA
rnacentral:rRNA from 1 species